CAUUUUCAUGUGUGAUUAUACUUGCAGCAAGUCAGAGUUAAAUAUUAUAAGGCGAAAGAAACUAAGACGGUUGAAGAAAUGAAAGAGUAUCUGGCAGAAUACAGAGAUGCCUUGCAAGACAGCAAGAGCUACCGCAAUCAGCUGGAGAAGGAACUACGAAACAUGAAUGCCACGUUAGAACAGCUCAGAGAUAAUCUUGAGGCAUUCAAAGAAGAACUUCAGAAGAAAGAUGAAAAUUCAUUAAGAAAAUCAUAAUUAAAUAA